ACCAGACAUGCUACUGUAACUCUCAUGGUCAUGUGCUGGAAUUAGUAGAUGUUCAACUAUUUGGCCAUCUCGCUGACCUGUUGAUAUCAGAAGCAGAAGCAAAAGACAACAAAAAACAGAAGUGAUGUGGAUGCCUUCGCCUUAUAGCAUGACACUGUCGAUCUAACAACAAUGAGAAGGGCGUUCGACAUCAUCCUGCUAGUAAGGAUUCUUUAAGAGAACAGAGGAUUCUUGUGGCAGAGAUGGCCAACCAUUAUAAAUACCUUUCAACUCAUCCUGGUUCUUUCAGGGAACUGUCCUGCUUGUGUGCUACUGAAAAAUACGACAUGUGGCCUAAACGAAGAGGGGUUGAAAGGUCUGUGGAUCAUCAUUCUCAGAAAGCAACAAAGUAACUGAGAAAAAAAAAACUACGAUACGAGGGUGCAAGCUAGAGACCUGCAAGGUACCUGCAAGUUUUGGCCGUAGCAGAGAACAUACAUCUUUUAAAUAAAGCUCCAACUGAUGAGUAUGACAUUGACUACAGAUUUUCUUUUACUGAAAAGAAAGAAGACGAUGACCUUAACACUGAA